rnacentral:tRNA from 1 species
CAAAUCAUAAUCUAUAGAGGAUAUUAUUAUUUACAUUAAUAAGUUAGUUGUGCAAAUCAACUUGAUUUGA